AUUCAAUGCCCCUGAACUCCCAAAUACUGAGAUCGAAAAUGGUAUUUUGUUUUUGAAAUGUAUAAGGUAAUAGAUACAAAGGCAGUAUUUACAUGAUUUUUGGGUAUAUGGACCAUAGCUUGACGGGACUUGCUGAUUAUCCUGAAUUGAGAUUUACAAUUCAACAUAUCAAUGUAUGUGACCUUGGACAAGGAGGAUUUACUCGUUAUAAUGAGCAUCCAUCACUUUUUUUUUGUCAACAAAGCAUCCAUCACUCAACUUGUUCUAAUAAUAUGUAUUUGUAGUGUUAUAUGAAGUAGCUGCUUACUGUUCUUCACUACUGUCAUCUCAAUAACGUGCAGAUAUCAAAGGUUAACUUUUUUAUUCUUUUCUAAACAUAUUAUCUAGGAUUUUAGGUGUGCAUAUGAUACUAUGUUCUGGUUUUUGGUUUGGCAGGCUCCAGUAUGCUCAUAGAUAUAAGGGAAACCUGAAGCUAGCAGAUUUUGGACUACCAUAAUCAUUCUCCAAUAACCACAGUCCAUGGAUGAUGAUUUUCCCUUAUAGCUGACCCAUGUCUUUGAUAUUAUAACUUAAUUUUCAAUCAAGAAAAUUUACUCAUCUAUGUAUUGAGCAGACCUUCAGAGUUGCUUCUUGGAGCUACGAAAUAUGAUUCGGCAGUAGACAUGUGAAUGCUGAACUGAGUGCUCAUGUGGCUAAGCAGUAAAGAGGAAGGAAUCUGUUGUCCUGUGUUAGGCAUUCAUGUCGUUUGAUUAUGAGUGCAGUUUCAUUGGAUGUUUUUUAGUUAAUGUGUAUUAUGUAGUUAUAGUUGUUAGUGGAUUCAAGCACAGAUUCUGUAAUAGCUAGGUUGUUGCCAUUUCAGUUUGUAUAUACCUUACUCUUUUUAUAUGUAUUUAUGGAUCAUGAUGUUUUGUACA